AGAACAUUCUAUCUGACCCCAUCUUGUGUGCAAUAUCAAACUACAAGUUUUUGCCCACAAAAGAUAAUGUGAGGAGAAGGGAAAUGGACAGAGAAGUGCAAGCUAUUAUGAGAAGAGGGAGAUGGCCUCUUUUCUAAACUGAAAACACAAAUACUAGCCUGGUUCAAAAUUUAUAUCUCCUCAUGAAUGUUUCAGUGGUGGGUGUUCAUUCUCCAUUUUUGUUUUUUCCUGUUAUGUGGCUUACUUGCAUUUUGUAUCUGCUCCAUCAGCUAGACAUCAUCAUGAUUAGGAACUCAAAUGGACCUUCAUCAGUAUGAUAAGAUGUUCUCACUUUAUGGGACCUAGACACAAAUGUUCUUGUAGCUGUAAUUGGAGAUACUCUUAUAGUGAUUGUCUGAAUAUCAUUAUCUAAUUGUGUUGUGUGUGUAAGUAGACAUUUGACUUGGAUCAUUGCUGAAAAAUGAUUGAUGGUUAUCAUACACAUUAAUUUGUCGUGGAAGCUUACCAAAAGAGAUGAGGCCUUGGUGCAAAGCAAGAGUGCCAUAGAAAAAGUUGAAUUCUUGAAGAAACGAUGACCUAGAAAAGGGGGCGGUUGAUU